CGGCGGACGGGUGAGUAAUGUAUGGGGAUCUGCCCGAUGGAGGGGGGUAACUACUGGAAACGGUAGCUAAUACCGCAUAACGUCGCAAGACCAAAGAGGGGACCUUCGGGCCUCUUGCCAUCGGAUGUGCCCAGAUGGGAUUAGCUAGUAGGUGGGGUAACGGCUCACCUAGGCGACGAUCCCUAGCUGGUCUGAGAGGAUGACCAGCCACACUGGAACUGAGACACGGUCCAG
rnacentral:rRNA from 1 species